GGCCAGAGCCAUAUCUCCCUGCAGUUCUCAUGUGGUUUCCUCUUGAAGCUAAGCUGGGUUGAGCCUGGCUAGUAUCUGGAUGGGAGACCUCCUGGGGAUAGCUGUAGUUGUAAGUG
rnacentral:rRNA from 1 species